rnacentral:rRNA from 1 species
UUGGAGAGUUUGAUCCUGGCUCAGGACGAACGCUGGCGGCGUGCUUAACACAUGCAAGUCGAACGGAAAGGUCUCUUCGGAGACACUCGAGUGGCGAACGGGUGAGUAACACGUGGGCAAUCUGCCCUGCACACCGGGAUAAGCCUGGGAAACUGGGUCUAAUACCGGAUAGGACCACUUGGCGCAUGCCUUGUGGUGGAAAGCUUUUGCGGUGUGGGAUGGGCCCGCGGCCUAUCAGCUUGUUGGUGGGGUGACGGCCUACCAAGGCGACGACGGGUAGCCGGCCUGAGAGGGUGUCCGGCCACACUGGGACUGAGAUACGGCCCAGACUCCUACGGGAGGCAGCAGUGGGGAAUAUUGCACAAUGGGCGCAAGCCUGAUGCAGCGACGCCGCGUGGGGGAUGACGGCCUUCGGGUUGUAAACCUCUUUCACCAUCGACGAAGGUCCGGGUUCUCUCGGAUUGACGGUAGGUGGAGAAGAAGCACCGGCCAACUACGUGCCAGCAGCCGCGGUAAUACGUAGGGUGCGAGCGUUGUCCGGAAUUACUGGGCGUAAAGAGCUCGUAGGUGGUUUGUCGCGUUGUUCGUGAAAUCUCACGGCUUAACUGUGAGCGUGCGGGCGAUACGGGCAGACUAGAGUACUGCAGGGGAGACUGGAAUUCCUGGUGUAGCGGUGGAAUGCGCAGAUAUCAGGAGGAACACCGGUGGCGAAGGCGGGUCUCUGGGCAGUAACUGACGCUGAGGAGCGAAAGCGUGGGGAGCGAACAGGAUUAGAUACCCUGGUAGUCCACGCCGUAAACGGUGGGUACUAGGUGUGGGUUUCCUUCCUUGGGAUCCGUGCCGUAGCUAACGCAUUAAGUACCCCGCCUGGGGAGUACGGCCGCAAGGCUAAAACUCAAAGGAAUUGACGGGGGCCCGCACAAGCGGCGGAGCAUGUGGAUUAAUUCGAUGCAACGCGAAGAACCUUACCUGGGUUUGACAUGCACAGGACGCGUCUAGAGAUAGGCGUUCCCUUGUGGCCUGUGUGCAGGUGGUGCAUGGCUGUCGUCAGCUCGUGUCGUGAGAUGUUGGGUUAAGUCCCGCAACGAGCGCAACCCUUGUCUCAUGUUGCCAGCGGGUAAUGCCGGGGACUCGUGAGAGACUGCCGGGGUCAACUCGGAGGAAGGUGGGGAUGACGUCAAGUCAUCAUGCCCCUUAUGUCCAGGGCUUCACACAUGCUACAAUGGCCGGUACAAAGGGCUGCGAUGCCGCGAGGUUAAGCGAAUCCUUUUAAAGCCGGUCUCAGUUCGGAUCGGGGUCUGCAACUCGACCCCGUGAAGUCGGAGUCGCUAGUAAUCGCAGAUCAGCAACGCUGCGGUGAAUACGUUCCCGGGCCUUGUACACACCGCCCGUCACGUCAUGAAAGUCGGUAACACCCGAAGCCAGUGGCCUAACCCUCGGGAGGGAGCUGUCGAAGGUGGGAUCGGCGAUUGGGACGAAGUCGUAACAAGGUAGCCGUA